CAGUCGCCGCGGGAAUACGAAGGGGGCUAGCGCUGUUCGGAUUUACUGGGCGUAAAGGGUGCGUAGGCGGAUUGUUAAGUCAGGGGUGAAAUCCCGAGGCUCAACCUCGGAACUGCCUUUGAUACUGUCGAUCUUGAGUCCGGGAGAGGUGAGUGGAACUGCGAGUGUAGAGGUGAAAUUCGUAGAUAUUCGCAAGAACACCGGUGGCGAAGGCGGCUCACUGGCCCGGUACUGACGCUGAGGCACGAAAGCGUGGGGAGCAAACAGGAUUAGAUACCCCUGUAGUCCCUGUCUCUUAUAC
rnacentral:rRNA from 1 species